GUGAUCUGGACCGAACACAGAGUCGCCAUGGAGUCUGCGCUGCGCUGGGCUUUCCUUAUUGCUAUUUUAAAAGGUGUCCAGUGUGAGGUGCACCUGGUGGAGUCCGGGGGAGGCCUGAGUCAGCCUGGGGGGUCUCUGAGACUCUCCUGUACAGCCUCUGGAUUCACCUUCAGCAGUUAUGACAUGAACUGGGUCCUCCAGGCUCCAGGGAAGGGAUUGCAGUGGGUCGCGUACAUUAGUGGUGGUAGUGGUAGCAUAAGCUAUGCAGGCUCCGUGAAGGGCCGCUUCACCAUCUCCAGAGACAACUCCAAGAACACCCUGUAUCUGCAAAUGGACAGUCUGAAAGUCGAGGACUCGGCCGUGCAUUUCUGUGCUAGAGACACAGUGAAGGGAAGUCCUUGA